AGUUGCCAGCAGUUCGGCUGGGCGACUCUAAAGGGACGUGCCGGUGUUAAACCGGAGGAAGGUGGGGAGUGACGUCAAGUCCUCAUGGCCUUUAUGACCAGGGCUACACACGUACUACAAUGGCCGAUACAAAGGGCAGCGACACUGCGAGGUGAAGCCAAUCCCGUAAAAUCGGUCUCAGUCCGGAUUGGAGUCUGCAACUCGACUCCAUGAAGUUGGGAUCGCUAGUAAUCGUGGAUCAGCAUGCCACGGUGAAUACGUUCCCGGGCCUU
rnacentral:rRNA from 1 species